rnacentral:rRNA from 1 species
GAUGAACGCUAGCGGCAGGCUUAAUACAUGCAAGUCGAGGGGCAGCGGGUGUAGUAAUACAUGCCGGCGACCGGCGCACGGGUGCGUAACGCGUAUGUAACCUACCUUUAACUGGAGGAUAGCCCCGAGAAAUCGGGAUUAAUACUCCAUAAAAUUAUGAAAAGGCAUCUUUUAUAAUUAAAGCUCCGGCGGUUUUAGAUGGGCAUGCGUGACAUUAGCUAGUUGGUGAGGUAACGGCUCACCAAGGCUCCGAUGUCUAGGGGUUCUGAGAGGAUUAACCCCCACACUGGUACUGAGACACGGACCAGACUCCUACGGGAGGCAGCAGUAAGGAAUAUUGGGCAAUGGACGCAAGUCUGACCCAGCCAUGCCGCGUGAAGGAUGACGGCCCUAUGGGUUGUAAACUUCUUUUGUACGGGAAAAAACCUUCGAACGUGUUCGAAGCUGAUGGUACCGUAAGAAUAAGCAUCGGCUAACUCCGUG